rfam:Felis catus isolate Cinnamon breed Abyssinian chromosome D3, whole genome shotgun sequence.
GCCUGGGUGGCUCAGUCGGUUGAGCGUCCGACUUCAGCUCAGGUCACGAUCUCGCGGUCCGUGGGUUCGAGCCCCGCGUCGGGCU